CCUACCUCUGCCUCCCAAAGUGCUGGGAUUACAGGCAUGAGCCACUGGGCCUGGCCGCUUUUAAAUUGGUAACUGUAUAACAAAUAUACAUUCAAACUUGGCAUACUAUAAAAAUUCUUAUGUAAAAUAAUACUAAGUAAGAUAUUAGCUUGAUUGUUUUU